UCCUCAUUCUCCUUCAGGUUCUAUGGGAGCUGAACAAGGAAGAGAAGAAAAGUACAGACAUUUGUAUUUCAAGAUGCCUUUCUGCCAUAGCACUUACAAUACACUGGCACACAGCCUGGCACAAAAUAUGCAUGCUGUGCAUGCUAUUAGUAUGCUUUUAAAAUUAUUGAGUGAUCUUCAGCAGCAGCAUUUGCCGGGACAGCUUCCAUUACCACAGAUUUCUUCUUUGUCUGGUGAGCUCUGACUUCCUCAGAGCUAACUGCUCUAUAACCCCAAUCUCUCUCCCCACAUAGAUAUUCAGUGGUCUGGGCCACGGUUCCCUUUAGCAUUUCUUCCAAGGACCCUGGUGGCGUUUGUACUAAUGGAACUCCUGGAGACCUACUGUGUCUGCAAUGAAGCCGCUGCGCCCCUGCAGACGUACCCUUCUCCACGGCUGUUAUUGAAUCACAUCGAAAUAAGCACAGACGUUUGUCCUCUUUGCUUGCCUAUUGCCUCUGUUUUGCUUAUUACCUUUUUUUUCUCUUAAAGAUCUAGGAGUACAAUAUUUGAAUUUCUGUUUUCAAAACCAAAAAAUGAAAAAGCAUAAGGCAAAUCAAAAAUUACUCAACUACAGCAAUUUGAAGACUAACAUCCUGGCCUUCUAUCUGUGGGGCUGUAAUGACUCGGAGGAUGAAAAUCAGCGUAUGCAAAGAAGUACGCGUAGUAAGUUGCUUCAUGAAAUAUUGGUGAGAUUCUGCUGAUUUUACCCGUAGGAGGCUGUGUGCUGCUGACCGUCCUCAUCAAUGCAGAGAUUUGGCCCUCGCAGCUGACCGUCCUCAUCGAUGCAGAGAUUUGGCCCUCGCAGCUGACCAUCCUCAUCCAUGUAGAGAUUUGGCCCUCGCAGCUGACCGUCCUCAUCGAUGCAGAGAUUUGGCCCUCGCAGCUGACCAUCCUCAUCCAUGUAGAGAUUUGGCCCUCGCAGCUGACCAUCCUCAGCGAUGCGGAGAUUUGGCCCUCGCAGCUGACAGUCCUCAUCGAUGCAGAGAUUUGCUUCUGUCCCCAGGGUUUUCGUACAUGAGGCUCCUGGAUCCUUACAACACGAUGACAUAAGUACCUUCACACUUGAGGACACUAAGGCUCAGGGAGAAGUAACCCGCCAGCAAUCGAUGAAUCUGGAAUGUGAAUGCCUCUCCUUUCACUCUAUAUCCCUGUUCUUUUCCAGAUAGGAUGUACACGAUCAUUUCUCAACUGCAUAUAUAAAGCAACAGAGAAAAUGUUCUCUGCAAUUGACGAUCAAGACAAAAAAAGCCUCCUUUGUAUUACGGUGCAAUGUAGACUUACUUAACUUUUGUCAGUGGAAAUGUCAAACUUAUUUUAAGAAAAAUGUUCAAAAGAUUUCAAAGAUAUCAGAGGACACCUCAAUAAAAGAACAAUGGAAAUUGUAGCUCAGCCUCUUCUUCCACUGGCCCUGAGUGUACUUGGCAAAGCCCAAUUGCCUGGAGGUAAGUUCCUCUCCAGAGUUCCUGUCUUCAAGCAUCACCUCUUGCUGCUCUCACCUUCUGUUUCUCCAAGUCUGUGUUCUGUUUCCAUACAGAAUGGGAGAUGGAAGAGGAAACAGAGGCAGAACUACCCUUUAUUCUUCCGUGGUAAAAUGAUGAACUAAUUCAUACUCAAAUGAUAAUGGUUGAGUUUUAUCAUGUCUUCCUACCAAUAUUCUGCAGAUUGUCCCCAGAGAAUUGCCACCUGGGGGCAUGGAAAAGUGCCUUAGAGCUGAGCAUGAGAACAGGGUCUGCUCCCAUGGAAGGAGCAGAAAGACGCUGAGGGAUGCUGCAUAACGACGAACCACGCAUUCAGGAGUCCAAAUGCUGUUGGAGUCCUGCAGUAGUAGUGUCUACUAAGCAGCAAAUACUUCCAUAAACCUCAGUGUCCUUUUCUAUGAAAGAAACACGUACCCUUCUCACAGGGUUGCUGUGGGGGAUUAAUUGAAACGAUGCAUGUAAAAGAGCUUUGAAAACUGUAAUGCACUUAUGCAAAUAGGAAUUAUAAAAACCCCUCAGGGCCCUGAGAUGGUAAGAUAUUAUUACCAUGGAGCUGGCUUUGCUUAGUUAAAAUCAAGAGAAGUUUUGAAAGUUAGUAAGAUCUAAGAUUUACAGGCUACCUUUUGUGGCCUUGAUCCAUUUUAUGCUUCUCCUGACUCAGCACUCUGGGGACUUCAAAGAGGAAUCUACUCAGAGAAAAUGUGCACGGACCGGGGAGAAGAGUCAGGAAGCUCGUGACUGGUUACCUUCUCCCUCCCGUGGCAAGCUUCCCAUCCCUGCACAGCGAUGUGGAUACUGCAAAAUUGUCCUUGAUGAUUUGCAUCUCUAACUCUCUCGACCUACACAAGAAAGCAUGGACAUUGGCUUCAGCCUUGUCUUCGCCAGCACUGAAUAGCAUCAACCUGUAAAACAUUUCCACCAUGUUUUAGGUGACAAGUUGAUUUCAUUUGUUGUUUCCACAUGAUUUUACAAAUCAACCUGCUUCAUCAGUGUCAGGAACAUGCUCAAAGCCGUCCAGUGUUGGCAGAAGAGGAGGCUUGGAAACGUUGAUGUAGAAGCAGAGACUGAAAGCUCUGGGAUCUCUUAGGCAUGAAGAAGCACGACCCCUUUGUUUUGGAGUUGAUUCCAAAAUAUGCACAAAGAUCAUCAAAACCAGCUGGGACUGAGAAGUAACCACAGCCACCUCUGCAAGGAUCAGGCCUACACAGCCUUCCAGCAGCUUCACCCAGGUGCAACCUUACAGCAACCAUGCCUUGGAAUAUAUGCCACAUACCUCUCACUCUCUGACCUGGGUCUUCUUGGACAUUGUGGUGUCGGAUGCUCCGGGGAACUGGGUGACCACUUAUGCUCUUGCAAUCAGAAAAUGAAGAGCAAGGGCUGCAAAGACUACCUUGAUCAAUGAGGGAAGGAAGCUAAGGGACUCAUGCUUUCUGCCUUUCAUGCCAUGGGUGACAGUUCUAAGGAGUGCAGUCAUGUGCCCCUGAUAGCAGGGACAGGUUCUGAGGAACGGGUCACUAGGCAAUUUUGUCAUUGUGCAUCGUAGAGUACACUUACACAAACCUAAGUGGCAGAGCUUACUACAUGCCUAGGCUACAUGGUAUAACCUAUGGCUCCAAGACUCUAAACCUGUACAGCACGUUGCUGUACUGAAUACUGCAGGCAACUGUCACACAGUAGUAUACCUUUUCUAUCGAAACAUAGAAAGUAUAUAUUAACAAUAUGGUAUAAAAAUUAAAAAUUAUAUUCCUAUAUAUGGAACUUAUCAUGAAUGGCGCUUACAGGAUUGGAAGCUGCUCAGGAUGAGUCAGUGAGUGGGUGGUGAGUGGACGUAAAGGCCUGGAGCAUUACUGUACGCUACUGUAGACUUCUUAAACAAGAUGCUCUCAGACUACAUUAAAUUUAUUUACAAAUUUUUCUUUCUUAAAUAGUAGAUUAACUUCACUUACUUUAAUAUUUUUACUUUUUAAAGUUUUUGUCUCUUUUGUGAUAAUGCUUAGCUUAAAACACACAGUGUAUAGCUGAAACAAAAUUUCU